AGAGUUUGAUCCUGGCUCAGAACGUACGCUGGCGGCACGCCUAACACAUGCAAGUCGAACGAGUAGCAAUACUAGUGGGAGACGGGUGAGUAACAUGUAGGUAUCUGCCCUUUGGGCUGUAAUAACACGAGGAAACUUGUGCUAAUACCGGAUAAGUCUUUACGGAGAAAGCUUUAUGCGCCAUUGGAUGAGCCUGCGCUUGAUUAUUUUGUUGGUGGGGUAAUGGGCUACCAAGACUGUGAUCAAUAGCUGAUUUGAGAGGAUGAUCAGCCACAUUGGGACUGAGACACGGCCCACACUCCUACGGGAGGCAGCAGUGGGGAAUCUUGCGCAAUGGAGGAAACUCUGAUGCGGCGAUGCCGCGUGAGUGAAAAAAGCCCUUGGGUUGUAAAGCUCUUUCUUCGGGGAAAAAAAUGACUGUGCCCGAAUAAAAAAGUCCGGCUAACUUCUUGCCACCAGCCGCGGUAAUACAAAGGGACCUAUCGUAGUUCGGAAUUACUGUGCUUAUAGAGAUCGCAGGUGGGUGAGAAAGUUGGUGGUGAGAUCCCACAGCUUAACUCUGUAACUGCCAUCUCAACUUUUCAGCUAUAGUAUGAUAGAGGAGAGCAGAAUUUCUAGUGUAUAGGUGAGAUUCGUAGAUAUUAUAAAGAAUACCACUUGCGAAGGCAGCUUUCUGGAUCAUUACUGACACUGAGGAACGAGAGCAUGUGUAGCGAGAGGAUUAGAUACCCUCGUAGUCCAUGUCGUAACGAUGUGUGUAUACGAUGGAAAUUUAUUAUUCACUGUCGCAGCGAAAGCGAUAAACACACCGCCUGGGGAGUACGACCGCAAGGUUAAAACUCAAAUGAAUUGACGGGGACCCGCACAAGUAGUGGAGCAUGUGGUUUAAUUCGAAGAUACGCGCAGAACCUUACCAACACUUGACAUGUUCGUCGCGACUUUAAGAGAUUAAAGUUUUCGGUUCGGCCGGACGAAACACAGGUGCUGCAUGGCUGUCGUCAGCUCGUGUCGUGAGAUGUUGGGUUAAGUCCCGCAACGAGCGCAACCCUCACUUUUAGUUGCCAUCAUUUAGUUGGGCACUCUGAAAGAACUGCCAGUGAUAAGCUGGAGGAAGGUGGGGAUGACGUCAAGUCCUCAUGGCCCUUACGUGUUGGGCUACACACGUGCUACAAUGGCAUUUACAAUAGGAAGCAAAACGGCGACGUUAAGCAAAUCCUAAAAAAAUGCCUCAGUUCGGAUUGUACUCUGCAACUCGAGUACAUGAAGCUGGAAUUACUAGUAAUCGCGGAUCAGCGCGCCGCGGUGAAUACGUUCCCGGGUCUUGUACACACCGCCCGUCACACCAUGGGAGUUGGUUCUACCUUAAGGCAAAGGUUAAAAACUUUGACCACGGUAUAGUCAGCGACUGGGGUGAAGUCGUAACAAGGUAACC
rnacentral:rRNA from 1 species